UUGAAAAGCCCGAGAGAGUGUGGGAUUGAACCCUCCGGGACCUACGGAGUGGGGAGGCAAGGUAGAGCCAGUUGUGCAGAGAGGGAGAAGCAGUGAGAUCCUGGAGCCCAGCUGAAAUGAACUGGCCUCCUUGAGCGGUCCCAAGCCCGGGUGCCAGGCCUGUGUCCCAGCACUGAGGGAGAAGGACCAUUCCUCCAGGAGUGCAAGUCGAGUGCGAGCCCUUGUCUGGGACUGCCCCGAAUGGAGUACACCCCUGCGCCCACAGGAUUAAUCUUCAGUCCCAUUGCUGCCUGUGUC